CUUCAGCGAGCCGAGCAGCAACUGCCGGCCGCGCGGCCGGCCCUGCCCGUAGGUCGCGAGGAUCGCCUGCGCCUC
rnacentral:antisense_RNA from 1 species